AACCCAUGUUGAGGACAUUUCCGCAGGAGCUCCUUGAACAUAUUCCAUUUCUCAAAAAAAUUCUCCAAUUCCAUUUGUACAAAAGAGGAUAUUUCAUUCCUAAGUUU